UACGGGGGGUGCGAGCGUUGUCCGGAAUCACUGGGCGUAAAGGGCGCGUAGGUGGUCUUAUAAGGAUGUGGUGAAAGCCCGGGGCUCAACCCCGGGUCGGCCGUGCCGACUGUAAGACUAGAGUGCUGUAGGGGCAGGCGGAAUUCCGGGUGUAGCGGUGGAAUGCGUAGAGAUCCGGAGGAAGACCGGUGGCGAAGGCGGCCUGCUGGGCAGUUACUGACACUGAGGCGCGACAGCGUGGGGAGCAAACAGG
rnacentral:rRNA from 1 species